rnacentral:rRNA from 1 species
AUUGGACGCUGGCGGCAUGCCUAACACAUGCAAGUCGAACGGUAACGCGGAGAGCUUGCUCUCUGGCGACGAGUGGCGGACGGGUGAGUAACGCGUAGAAAUCUGCCUAGUAGUGGGGGACAACCUGGAGAAAUCCAGGCUAAUACCGCAUACGCCCUACGGGGGAAAGCGGGGGAUCUUCGGACCUCGCGCUAUUAGAUGAGUCUGCGUCGGAUUAGCUAGUUGGUGAGGUAAAGGCUCACCAAGGCGACGAUCCGUAGCUGGUCUGAGAGGAUGAUCAGCCACACCGGGACUGAGACACGGCCCGG